GAGCCUGGUGUGGAACCCAGACACCGCCUCCUCUGGUGUCCCGUUUUAGACAAAUUUGAACUCAAUUGCCGCAAGCAGAGUCGGAGUCGGAUCGUUGAGCCAGAGCGAUGACGGGUCAUUCUCACCCUGAUCAGUAAUACCCCAUGACCCACCCAUUUUCAGGCUAUUGAAAUUGAAGAUAACCCUGACCUUCUGCAUCAGAUCAAAGCUCGGAAGAUCGGUUCGGUGGAUCCCAGCUCCACCACGCCAUUCGCGGAGGGUAUGCACACCAUGGUAUGGAGCCCAAACACUUGCCCUUGGCGUGCCUGCUCGCACAUCAACCUGACUAGCCGAUCCGCCCGAUGACCCAGAUCGAGCUAGAGCUGAAGAACGCCUGCCCUGGCGAGUCCCCUGCCGUUGACAAACGACUGGGUCAUCGACACCAGGAAGAACCACUCGGUGUUGGCCGGUCCACCCCGGUGACCUAGACCAGACUAGAGCUGAAGAAUGCGCCUCCCCCCCCUGCCUCCUACUUGGACUUGCAAGGACAAGAUUUUCUUCUGGGUGGAGAGGGUGACUCAACAAGGGUAAAAUGGAGACAUCAGCAUCAAAAAAAAUCACGUGUCGCGUAUUCCAUCUAGUCUGACGGAAAAGGCUAACGGAAUGGCAACAUUGAAAAAUCAAGAAACUUCGUUCGGCCACAUUGCAAAUUUUUAAAGAUUAGAGGUAAGAUUGAAAAUGGAAUACAACUUUAGAAGGGUGAAUUGUAUUUAACCCGAAAUUAAAUCUUGGAAAGACGUAGGAAUGAAUAGUCACCAACAUAUGAGUAUUACAUAAGCAUCACAUGUACCAACCAUCAAAGGCUUAAUGCCACGUAAAAAUGCCUUUCUCUUCUACUCUCUCUUUUGCAUUCUUUUCAGUGUAAUUUGUAAAGGAAACUCCAUCUUUCUCUCAAUGAUUUCUUUUAA